GCGAGGCUGAAAAGCGUAGUCGAUGGAAAACAGGUUAAUAUUCCUGUACUUUUUGUAACUGCGAUGUAGUGACGGAGAAAGCUAGGUCAUCCUGGCGGACGGUUGUCCAGGUGAAAGCGAGUAGGUAGUGUGUGUAGGCAAAUCCGCAUGCAUGAUGAUCUGAGACGUGAUGACGAAGCUUCUUAUUAAGAAGCUGAAGUGAUUGAUGCUAUGCUUCCAGGAAAACCUACUAAGCUUCAGGUUACAAGGAGCCGUACCCGAAACCGACACUGGUGGACAGGUAGAGAAUACUAAGGCGAUGAGAGAACUCAGGUGAAGGAACU
rnacentral:rRNA from 1 species